UGAGGAAUAUUGGUCAAUGGGCGAGAGCCUGAACCAGCCAAGUAGCGUGCAGGAUGACGGCCCUAUGGGUUGUAAACUGCUUUUAUAAGGGAAUAAAGUGAGAGUCGUGACUCUUUUUGCAUGUACCUUAUGAAUAAGGACCGGCUAAUUCCGUGCCAGCAGCCGCGGUAAUACGGAAGGUCCGGGCGUUAUCCGGAUUUAUUGGGUUUAAAGGGAGCGUAGGCCGGAGAUUAAGCGUGUUGUGAAAUGUAGACGCUCAACGUCUGCACUGCAGCGCGAACUGGUUUCCUUGAGUACGCACAAAGUGGGCGGAAUUCGUGGUGUAGCGGUGAAAUGCUUAGAUAUCACGAAGAACUCCGAUUGCGAAGGCAGCUCACUGGAGCGCAACUGACGCUGAAGCUCGAAAGUGCGGGUAUCGAACAGGAUUAGAUACCCUGGUAGUCCGCACGGUAAACGAUGGAUGCCCGCUGUUGGUCUGAACAGGUCAGCGGCCAAGCGAAAGCAUUAAGCAUCCCACCUGGGGAGUACGCCGGCAACGGUGAAACUCAAAGGAAUUGACGGGGGCCCGCACAAGCGGAGGAACAUGUGGUUUAAUUCGAUGAUACGCGAGGAACCUUACCCGGGCUUGAAUUGCAGAGGAAGGAUUUGGAGACAAUGACGCCCUUCGGGGUCUCUGUGAAGGUGCUGCAUGGUUGUCGUCAGCUCGUGCCGUGAGGUGUCGGCUUAAGUGCCAUAACGAGCGCAACCCCUCUCCUUAGUUGCCAUCAGGUCAAGCUGGGCACUCUGGGGACACUGCCACCGUAAGGUGUGAGGAAGGUGGGGAUGACGUCAAAUCAGCACGGCCCUUACGUCCGGGGCUACACACGUGUUACAAUGGCAGGUACAGAGAGACGGUCCCUUGCAAAAUGGAUCAAAUCCUUAAAGCCUGUCUCAGUUCGGACUGGGGUCUGCAACCCGACCCCACGAAGCUGGAUUCGCUAGUAAUCGCGCAUCAGCCAUGGCGCGGUGAAUACGUUCUC
rnacentral:rRNA from 1 species